rnacentral:rRNA from 1 species
GACGAACGCUGGCGGCGUGCCUAACACAUGCAAGUCGAACGGAGUGUUUAUUUAUAAACACUUAGUGGCGAACGGGUGAGUAACGCGUAGACAACCUACCCUCUAGAUGGGGACAACACCGCGAAAGUGGUGCUAAUACCGAAUGUUGUAAUGUUAUUGCAUAAUGAUAUUACUAAAGGUGGCCUCUAUAUAAAAGCUACCGCUAGAAGAUGGGUCUGCGUCUGAUUAGCUAGUUGGUGAGAUAACAGCUCACCAAGGCAAUGAUCAGUAGCCGGUCUGAAGGGAUGAACGGGCACACUGGGGCUGAGACACCGCCCAGACUGCUACGGGAGGUAGCAGUGGGGGAUCUUCCGCAAUGGACGAAAGUCUGACGGAGCAACGCCGCGUGAGUGAAGAAGGUUUUCGGAUCGUAAAGCUCUGUCUUCAAGGACGAAUGUAGAUAUUGUGAAUAAUGAUAUUUAAUGACGGUACUUGAGGAGGAAGACACGGCUAACUACGUGCCAGCCGCCGCUGUAACAC